UACGUAGGGGGCAAGCGUUGUCCGGAAUUAUUGGGCGUAAAGAGCUCGUAGGCGGUUUGUUGCGUCGGCUGUGAAAUCCCGAGGCUCAACCUCGGGUCUGCAGUCGAUACGAGCAAACUAGAGUGUUGCAGGGGAGACUGGAAUUCCUGGUGUAGCGGUGAAAUGCGCAGAUAUCAGGAGGAACACCGGUGGCGAAGGCGGGUCUCUGGGCAACAACUGACGCUGAGGAGCGAAAGCAUGGGGAGCGAACAGG
rnacentral:rRNA from 1 species